rnacentral:rRNA from 1 species
GACGUAGGGCGCGAGCGUUGUCCGGAUUAUUGGGCGUAAAGAGCUCGUAGGCGGCUUGUUGCGUCGGCUGUGAAAACCCAUGGCUCAACCGUGGGCUUGCAGCCGAUACGGGCAGGCUAGAGUUCGGUAGGGGAGACUGGAAUUCCUGGUGUAGCGGUGAAAUGCGCAGAUAUCGAGAGGAACACCAGUGGCGAAGGCGGCCGGCUGGGGGUGCCCUGACGCUGAGGCGCGAAAGCGUGGGGAGCGAACCGG